GGGUUGGGUUGGGAUUUUGAA
rnacentral:miRNA from 1 species